rnacentral:rRNA from 1 species
UACGGAGGGGGCUAGCGUUGUUCGGAAUUACUGGGCGUAAAGCGCACGUAGGCGGCUUUGUAAGUUAGAGGUGAAAGCCCGGGGCUCAACUCCGGAAUUGCCUUUAAGACUGCAUCGCUAGAAUUGUGGAGAGGUAAGUGGAAUUCCGAGUGGUAGAGGUGAAAUUCGUAGAUAUUCGGAAGAACACCAGUGGCGAAGGCGACUUACUGGACACAUAUUGACGCUGAGGUGCGAAAGCGUGGGGAGCAAACAGG